UCAACCAUAAACGUCAUUCCUACUUCCUCUUCUACUGCCUCUUUUGCCUUGUACCUUAAAGAUUGAACUUCAUUCACUCACCCAAAGGUCAAAAAUCUGCACUUUUGCAAUAGCUUCAGAGAGAUUGUUGUAACACCCAUUCAUUCUGUUUCAGCCUUUCUAUGAAUUUGGGUAUGAUUUUGUUGUAAAUUUGGUUUAGGUGGCUGGAAUUGCUGAUUAUAGAGUUGGUGUUAGCAUUUCAAUUUGGUUUUGCCGUUUGUAGCAGUUGAUUGGCUUUAUUACCUGUUGAAAUCUAAGGCUUGAGGUCUGUUCAUCCCAUACAAUAUACAAAUAAGGUAUGCUUGG